rnacentral:rRNA from 1 species
AGGACGAACGCUGGCGGCGUGCUUAACACAUGCAAGUCGAGCGGUAAGGCCCCUUCGGGGUACUCGAGCGGCGAACGGGUGAGUAACACGUGAGCAACCUGCCCUUAGCUCCGGGAUAGCUCCGGGAAACCGGAAUUAAUACCGGAUAUGACUUUGGCUGACAUCAGCAGAAGUGGAAAGUUUUUCGGCUAGGGAUGGACUCGCGGCCUAUCAGCUAGUUGGUGAGGUAACGGCCCACAAGGCGACGACGGGUA